UCCGAAUUGGUGUAACGGUCAACAUUUCGCGUUUUCAAGACUCUGUCUUACUACCGCGGAGCUCGGGGUUCGAUUCCCCGAUUCGGAG